ACGCCGAGGGCGCUUCCCGCCCGGGACGGGGAAGUGACGUCCCGUCCCCCUCAGCCUGCCCCGGAAGUGCGGGCGCUGCCCGGAACCCUCGCGCGACCGUUGUAGCCAUGUAGGUACCGUUACCGGAGGGGGACGGCACCGGAGCGGCCAUGGAGGAGGAGGAGGGCGGCGGCGGCGGCAGCGACAGCGCCGCCGCAGCCCCCCCUCUGCCGAACCUCACCCCCCGGCACCGGCAGCUCAUCCCCACGCCCUGCGGCCCCAUAAAACCUUGCUCAGAGCUAUCAUUUCCUGUGAAGAUCUACUUCUGUGUCACUAUUUUGUCUCUGCUAAGUGUGAUAGGGCUAACCGUAGAGACACUCGUUCGACAAACUGAGGAAGAUUUCACCAUUUCUCUUAUUCAGUUAAUUGGAGUUGUGUUCUGUGUAUACUAUGUGACUAGAGGAAUCCUGCAGGAGAAUCGCCAGGAGCUCAUCGUCUUUGUUCUUUCCAUCUUGCUAGUGAUGUUUCGUUCCAUUGUCAACUUCACAGUGCUCUCUGCUGAGCAAAAGCCAAAACUCCUGGCCCGCUUCAUUCUGAUCCUUUUGGUUGGCUCCUUUGAUGUGAUCUGUGCCAUCAUCCUCAUUCAGAGUCAAAGCAUGAUGGCCUUUCGAGUGGGUGGUGCUCUAGAAAGCCUACAGUCGCAAUACUUCAUGCUGAACCUCUGUUUUUCCAUGUUGACCUUUGAUCUUCAGGCACAGCUCUGCUUGUGUGUUCUGCUGAUAAGCCUGCAUGAGAUCACCCUUCUACAUAACAUCAUCUCGGCAGCAGGGGUGCUUUGGGCCUGCCUGAAGGUGACCAUUAGCAUCAUCGCAACCUGCCCUUCCAGUUCAGGACCGCUGAAAGUUGCUACCUGCCGGAAAGCAGUCCAUCGUUUCUUCUUUCCCAAGUCCCAAGAUCUUAAAAGAACUGAAACCUCUGGUGUGGAUUUUUCUGGGUCAGAAUAUACCUGAAGUAGUUUAUCUCAUCUACCUGCUUUACACGGUGAUAAGGGAGUGGGGCAAAGGGAAUUCUUACACUCUGGAAGCUGCUUUCAUUACCGGCUCUUGCAUUUCUGUUGCAAUAAAAUCUGUUUUGUUUUGGGCACUGAUUCAUGUCUACCGCAGCUUUGGGCAGGGGCUGAGAGAAAGAAUGUUUUCUUCCUAUGGAAGGAUCGACUCCUGAGCAUCCCCCUUGUGUUCUAUCUGCAGCUCUUACAGAGUGAAAUCGUAGUCGGGGAAGUUCUGAUCAAGUACUUGCAUUCAGGAUGUAAGACAAUGGGUCAGUUUCACAGAGGUAUAGGAAGUUGCUCAGAAAAACAUCUAUACAUUUCUUGGUUCCUAUCGUGCUAGGGAACUAUAGCAGCACAGCUGGUAACUUAGUUUAAAAAGCAAAGUGCUCUCGGGAAAUUAACAGUAAUCCUCUCGAUUCAGUGAGUUUUGCUGACAGGACAAUGCAUCUUUCACUCGUUGUUUUCCUGAUGUUGCUUUGUAACCGCAGGAGGUUCACAACAUGCAUGUGAGUAGAGAAUGUUGUUAAUAUAAAUGCUGUUUUUCUGGAUAUACACAAACAUAAUGAUAAUAAUUUGCACAUCCAUCUUACGUACCAGAGUCUAGAAGUGGAUUGCCCUACCAUCAUUUCUCAACUCCGACCUGUUGCUGAACAGAGGUCAAGCACUGAAGUUGUUUCGGUGACAGCUGUAUUCCCUGAUCUCCGCUAUGGCUGUGUGACGGCUUAACUCCAACAGAACGGCUAGGGCUCUUGUUCUGAAGUCAGAGGAGGAACAUUUCAAUUUUUUUUGUUUUUUUAAAUCCCAGCUACACAUGAAAACUACGCGAUGUAAUCUUAUGCCUUCCUAUAGUGUAUCUAACCAAUGUGCCAUUUCAUACACCAGGCUGACUGUUAAACUAAGCCUUUAAUAUUGCAAUUUAAAAGUUUGGUAUUUUAUUGAUUGGAACCUUUAGCUACUGGCUGUCUAUUUUUUAAUAAAGUAUAAACACAG